rnacentral:rRNA from 1 species
UACAGAGGUCUCAAGCGUUAUUCGGAUUCAUUGGGCGUAAAGGGUGCGUAGGCGGCGCGGUAAGUCGGAUGUGAAAUCUCGGAGCUUAACUCCGAAACUGCAUUCGAUACUGCCGUGCUUGAGGACUGGAGAGGAGACUGGAAUUUACGGUGUAGCGGUGAAAUGCGUAGAUAUCGUAAGGAAGACCAGUGGCGAAGGCGGGUCUCUGGACAGUUCCUGACGCUGAGGCACGAAGGCCAGGGGAGCAAACAGG